AGUGAACGCUGGCGGUAGGCCUAACACAUGCAAGUCGAACGGAAGCACAGUAAGAGCUUGCUCUUACGGGUGGCGAGUGGCGGACGGGUGAGGAAUACAUCGGAAUCUACUUUUUCGUGGGGGAUAACGUAGGGAAACUUACGCUAAUACAGCAUACGACCUACGGGUGAGAGCAGGGGAUCUUCGGACCUUGCGCGACUGAAUGAGCCGAUGUCGGAUUAGCUAGUUGGCGGGGUAAAGGCCCACCAAGGCAACGAUCCGUAGCUGGUCUGAGAGGAUGAUCAGCCACACUGGAACUGAGACACGGUCCAGACUCCUACGGGAGGCAGCAGUGGGGAAUAUUGGACAAUGGGCGCAAGCCUGAUCCAGCCAUACCGCGUGAGUGAUGAAGGCCUUCGGGUUGUAAAGCCCUUUUAUUGGGAAAGAAAAGCAGCAUGUUAAUCCCCCGCUGUUCUGACGGUACCCAAAGAAUAAGCACCGGCUAACUUCGUG
rnacentral:rRNA from 1 species